UAGGGAAUCUUCCGCAAUGGGCGAAAGCCUGACGGAGCAACGCCGCGUGAGUGAUGAAGGUCUUCGGAUCGUAAAACUCUGUUAUUAGGGAAGAACAAAUGUGUAAGUAACUAUGCACGUCUUGUCGGUACCUAAUCAGAAAGCCACGGCUAACUACGUGCCAGCAGCCGCGGUAAUACGUAGGUGGCAAGCGUUAUCCGGAAUUAUUGGGCGUAAAGCGCGCGUAGGCGGUUUUUUAAGUCUGAUGUGAAAGCCCACGGCUCAACCGUGGAGGGUCAUUGGAAACUGGAAAACUUGAGUGCAGAAGAGGAAAGUGGAAUUCCAAGUGUAGCGGUGAAAUGCGCAGAGAUAUGGAGGAACACCAGUGGCGAAGGCGACUUUCUGGUCUGUAACUGACGCUGAUGUGCGAAAGCGUGGGGAUCAAACAGG
rnacentral:rRNA from 1 species